GGGAACCCUGAAUACAAUGAGGACUGAUUGAGAAAGGAAGACUGACCCCUUUCCAUCAAUGGUGCCACUCCCAGGUCCGACCACCUGGGCUCACCUCUUCCUUCCAGAAUCUUUGCUAAAUGGAACAACCAUCAUCUUCAGCAGUCUUCUUGAUUGAAAAGUCUGAACAUCUCAUUAGCGUUUCACCACUCACUUUAUUUUCAUUCUUUUGACUGUUUAAUAGACGAGGUUAACCACAAGGUGCCCCAAACUCUUUAAUCUUCCUGUCUAUUUCUUACAAUCUAUAUUUUCCUUAUUUAAAUCUCUUCUUGACAGGAUUUAGAAGUGAUUAUCACAAGGGAAACAAGAGCAUUAACAUAAAAAUAUGAAAUAACUCACAAUCUAUAUUUAUUUGCACUUAAGCAGUCAAUCCCCUCAAAAUGUUUAAUACACCUUAAUACUAAAUAAUUUGAUCCAAAUCCAAAAUUAAAUAUACCUGUUUUACUGGAAAGAAAAAAAAAAAA